rnacentral:sRNA from 1 species
GCUGGGUGUGGGGGCCCAUGCCUGUAAUUCUAGCAGCUCAGGAGGCUGAGGUAAGAGGAUCACAAGUUCAAAGCCAGCCUCAGAAAUGGUGAGAUGCUAAGCAAUCAGUGAGACCCUGUCUUUU